UGUCCCUUUCCACCCGAAUCUCUGUCUGUCCUUCACUCUCAUGCAGUAAAACCCAAAGACGGCGGCACUUCAACUAGCGCUGAGGAGCCUGCUGCGCCCACGGGAUGCCGGGUCCACCCAGAGAGCAGCACAAACAAGGUUUCAUCUGUUGCAGAUUGGAAACGGCUUUAAAGCCAGAUACUGACCGGGUGAACUGGUCGGUAUUCUCCCAGCACACCGCCUCUUCCACCUCAGUCCUCCUUCGCUGCUGAUAAAAGAGGCGCUCAGCGAACGGGCCGCUUUUAGCGGCGGCCAUUCAGAAGACGAGGAGGCGCAGGAAGAGCCCUGACUACGGCCCGCUGACUCAUGGGCAGCGGGUUUAUCGAUCCAAGCAGAUGGCCGACGCGGUGUCUUCCCGGGCUUUCAUUUGGUUUUGCAUUUCCUGGAAUCUGAAUCACCGUGCCUGUCUUCAGGCCUCCGCUCUCUCUCUCUCUCUGUUUCCAUGGUUGCAGAGUCUCAGCAGAUUCUGAGGGUAUGGCGCCGGUAUGAGGCAGAGGUCCACGGGGGCCUUGUGGUUGACUCCGCUGCCUGCUACGUUUCCCAGCUCUCCAAGAGUCAUAUUUUUCUCCCCAUAAUGGAUGGUGUGCCUUCACACAGUUGUAGCCGUGGUGUCUCCGUAGAGACACUGAGGAGGUGGGGAGGGAGGCAACGGGAUGGUUAAAAAGGAAAUCAGCAUGCUUUUGGAACUACCGAGAUGUAGAGAACUAAAGUGAGUGGACACUAUGCGAGUCCACCCCGACUCUUUCCACAUGUGGGGGAGUGACAUCAGGGAAAUCAUCAUUCUGAUCUCAAUAAUUGGUUAUUUCACAUUUUAACCAAUCAAACCAGUCCUAACACAAAUAUAUAAUUUUAAUCAUCAUCAUCCUAAGUGUCACACCCCAAUAAAUAAAUGAUAACAUACAGGUUUUCCGUAUGUCAAGUAUGUCUUAUCUGCUAUAUGACUUAUAUAUAACUGUUAAACGUAUGCAGAAAGUUACUAGUAUACACACUCAUUCAUACGCACUCACACUCUGCUUAACCCUUUAAAGUGUGAAAAUCACAAAUCUGUGAUUAGAAUGUUCUUAACUGGACAUUCUAAUGCUGAUG